GAAGCUGGCUAGACAGUCGCCGCGCACGCAAGUGCGGGGAGGAAAGUCCGGGCUCCAUAGAGCAGGAUGCCGGUUAACGACCGGACGCCGUGAGGCGAUGGAAAGUGCCACAGAAAAUACACCGCCGAUGGCCGCGCAAGCGGAUCAGGUAAGGUUGAAAUGGCGAGGUAAGAGCUCACCGCGCUGGUGGCAACAUCAGUGGCAGGGUAAACCCCAUCCGGAGCAAGAUCAAAUAGGCUGACCAUGACGUUGCUCGCGUCGUCAGCGGGUAGAUUGCUUGAGCGUCAGGUAACGAAACGCCUAGAGGAAUGACUGUCCACGACAGAACCCGGCUUAUCGGCCAGCUUCACCU
rnacentral:RNase_P_RNA from 1 species